GCACCUUGGAACAUGGCUCAGUUGGUAGAGCAUCAGACUCUUAAUCUCAGGGUUGUGGGUUUGAGCCCCACCUAGUGCA